rnacentral:tRNA from 1 species
GGGCCUGUAGUUCAGUGGUUAGAACACCCCGCUCAUAACGGGUAGGUCGCAGGUUCAAAUCCCGCCAGGCCCACCA